AUGCCAUCGUCUCAGGUUCCAAAGUUUUCAUCUCUGCCCGAUGAGUUGAGGGAUGGCUGUGGUGUUGAGGGUGCUGCGUUGGAGCGUGCUGAGCAUAUCUUAAGUAAUGUGUGUUUUGAGCUGCAAAAGGUCCCAACAAAAGUUGAGCGUUUGAGCUGUAUCAAUGGUAUCCUUCCUGAAGGUCAUCAAUUUAACGCUGAGGAAGCUGUUGACUACAUUGAGAUGGAGAGAAUUUUAAUCGGUGAUAUGCGUGACGGUGCCGCUAAUCUAGUUCCGAGCUCGGUUCGUCUGUUGAACAACAUGAAGCGUUUCAGAACUACGCAAAACUCUCGCUGCAAGCCAUAUGAAGAAAGUGCAAAUGUUGUUAUCAAGCAGUUUGAGCAGGAUGAGGCUGCUGCCACCGACAGCAGGGCUGGUGAUGGUACUGAGGCUAAUGUUUUUGAUCACGAAACGAAUGAUGUUGGCUUUUAG
rnacentral:rRNA from 1 species